GUUUGACCUCGGAUCAGGUAGGGAUACCCGCUGAACUUAAGCAUAUCAAAAGCCGGAGGAAAU
rnacentral:rRNA from 1 species